GUGUAUAGCUCAGUUGGUAGAGCAACUGACUCUUAAUCAGUGGGUCCGGGGUUCGAGCCCCCG
rnacentral:tRNA from 1 species